AGAACGAACGCUGGCGGCAGGCCUAACACAUGCAAGUCGAACGCCGUAGCAAUACGGAGUGGCAGACGGGUGAGUAACGCGUGGGAACAUACCCCUCGGUUCGGAAUAACUCAGGGAAACUUGAGCUAAUACCGGAUACGUCCGAGGUUCUAAUCGACCUUGGAGAAAGAUUUAUCGC
rnacentral:rRNA from 1 species